rnacentral:rRNA from 1 species
GAUGAACGCUGGCGGCGUGCUUAACACAUGCAAGUCGAACGAUGAAGCCCAGCUUGCUGGGUGGAUUAGUGGCGAACGGGUGAGUAACACGUGAGUAACCUGCCCUUGACUCUGGGAUAAGCCUGGGAAACUGGGUCUAAUACUGGAUAUGACUUCUCAUCGCAUGGUGGGGGGUGGAAAGAUUUAUUGGUCUUGGAUGGACUCGCGGCCUAUCAGCUUGUUGGUGAGGUAAUGGCUCACCAAGGCGACGACGGGUAGCCGGCCUGAGAGGGUGACCGGCCACACUGGGACUGAGACACGGCCCAGACGCCUACGGGAGGCAGCAGUGGGGAAUAUUGCACAAUGGGCGCAAGCCUGAUGCAGCGACGCCGCGUGAGGGAUGACGGCCUUCGGGUUGUAAACCUCUUUCAGUAGGGAAGAAGCGAGAGUGACGGUACCUGCAGAAGAAGCGCCGGCUAACUACGU